GAGCUGAAACCAAGAGUCGCCACUCAAUCGAUUGUGCCACCCAGGCACCUCCAGACUUGUAACAUUUUUAAAGGUAGAUCCCACAAUCCAUUUACUGAUAGAGAUAGUUCAAGAAAGAAAGAAGAAUCAAAGGUGAUUGUUUUUGGAAUGAUGACACCAUUAUAAUUACAAAAGUGAAGCACAUGUCUGAGGCCAGUGCAACCCAAGAGGCUCAUAGUGAGUGCCCAACAGUAUUUAAUAUGGGGACCUGAGCUUGUCUAGGCUCCCUAGAAGAAGUGAUAAUGAGAGUUAAGCCCAGAAGACCAUAUGAGUUAACUAAAAGAAUGAGGGAAGCAUAAAGAGUGGUCCUGGUCAAGAAGCAGCAAGUGCACAGGGUGAGUAAGAGUUUUCUUCAGGCAGAAGGAAAGUUGAUGUGUGGAGUUGAAAAGAAGCUCCUGGGUCAAGACUGGGCCAGAGAGGUGGGGUGAGGGGAGUGAACUUGAUCCUGAGGGCAGUGAGAGCUAAAGGGAGGUUGUAAGUCAGGGAGUGAUACGCCCCUUUAGAGCCCCCAAAACAAAACACCCCGUGUGUAGAAGGUUCUGGAAGGGAACAGUGGAAACCUGGAGACCAGUGAAGAAGCCAUGGUUUGGUUAAGGCUCUGGUUCUCAGGGUGGGCAGGCCAGGUUCUCCUAGGUUACCAUUCCUGGGCUUGUGACUUUGGGCAAGUUACCUACCCUCUCUAUUGCUCCAACUUUCCCCUCUAUAAAUGGGAUUGAGGGCAGUACCCAUCUCACGCGAUUGUGGUCAAGAUUCAAUGAAAUAACCCAACAGAGCUUGGGGCAGGACUGGAUGGGAGGGCGCGACAACGAUGACCCCACCAUCGCGCGGGCUCCCCCGGAGGUACAAGAAGAGGCUCCCCACAGAGGAGAGCCCUUCCACUUGGAGCAGCCGGUGGUCGUUGUCCCUGAGGGGUCUGGGAAAGCGAGCGAGGACUUCGGGGCGGGCGCUCCACCCGGGGGCGGGGCUGGAGGCAGGAGCCUGCCUCGGACGCUCCGCCCCGCCGGCCUUCAGGAGCGGGCUUGACUGCCCUCUGGUGGCCGAGGGUGGGGUGAGCCCUGAGGCCACGCCCACUGCAGCUGCCCUUCGGUGGCGCCCCGGACCUCUGUCUCCAGCAGGCCAGCGUUCCCUGGUGUCUGUCCUCCGUCCUGCUCACCAGAGGGACCUUUACACUUCCAAUCUUGGGGUACCGUAUUCAGAGCUUGCCACGGCUCUCCUGGGACUCGGGGUAAUCAUUCUCCUUAGUUCAACACCGAAGUCUCCAGCCUUACCCCCUACCCCCACCCCUGCAAUGCGUCCCUUGCCCCUGACCUUUUACCUUAGCCACUCAGGACCCCUCUUCAGAUUUUUGAUCCUUCUGGAAACAUCUUUUCACAUACAGGCAAAUACAUAGAUAUAAAUAUAUUUUGAUCCUCACCGCACUGCCCCCCCCGCCUUUUUUUACACAAAUGGUAACAGACACACUCUGCCUUACCUUUUACCCCUAAAUAAUGUAUCUUAUAGAAGUUUCCAUAUUCAUACAUGAAUCCCUGUGUACUCAUCGUGCAGCUUCAAGUUAUCAACACUCACGGCAGCUUCAUUACUUCUUCUAGCUGUGGUGUUUUAGCCAGACCUCUAACUCAGUGAUACCCAACGUGCCGUGGCACAUGCAUAAAAUAUUGAAAUUGCACACUGAGGGAAAGUUGGGAGGGAUUUCAGACUGCCCAUGUGGGUCCUAGGGGAAAAGCCAUUCCAUUUCUAUAUACUAGUUUUGAUGAGGAGAAAAAUGAAAUAUAUUUAAUAGUGAAGUAUUAACUUUGAAACAACGAAUACAUUAUUUUAUAUGAGCUUUUAUAAUCAAAAUGGUUCACACAGUUCUUGAUCAAGGCUUAUUACUGAUGAUCUCUUCAAAUUCUUGGUAGUCAGCAUCAACAAGAGACUUCAUAGCCACAAGUAGGUGAUAAAAGAAAAAUUUUAACCAUCCUAAAGCUUACAACUGAAAUUAUAUUUAAAUGUUCCAACAGUUCUUCCCUUUAUUUAAUUGACAAGUAUAAUGUUGUAUUCAAGUGGAUUUCAAAUCCAAAUGAACUUUUUCAUUUCAGGUAUUUUUUUUUAAGAUUUUAUUUAUUUGACGGAGAGAGACAGUGAGAGAGGGAACACAAGCAGGGAGAGUGGGAGAGGGAGAAGCAGGCUUCCAGCGGAGCAGGGAGCCCGAUGCGGGGUUCGAUCCCAGGACCCUGGGAUCAUGACCUGAGCCGAAGGCAGACGCUUAACGACUGAGCCACCCAGGCGCCCCUCAUUUCAGGUACUUUAAACUAAUGAUAAGCUCCAGAAUACAGGAAAUUAUGUAAAGCUUUCAAGUCCCCCCUUUUUUUUUUUGAGAAAAUUGUAACUGUUAUUAAACCUGGGCAAGGCCAUACAGUGCACAGGGAGAGAGGAAAGGAGGGAGAGAAAGAGUGCAAAAGGAAGGAAAGAAGAAAGGGACAGACUGUGUAGUAAGACCAUUUAAAUUUCAUAAGAAUUCACAAGGCUUUUUACAUGUAAUUAUUCAAGCUAAUCAUGUGUGAACCUACUGAAAUGAGGUGGUUUAAAUAAUUUAGGAGGGAAUUAAUACUUCAUAUGACCAGAAUUCUAACAUUAGUGCAUGGACAUUUAUUAAAAAAUCAAAUAAGACAUAAAUGUGUUGAGAUGGUAUUUGUCAAUCUUAAAGUUUAAGGAAGUCACUCUUUUUUUAAGGAAGCUCCACAACCCAGUACGAGGCUUGAACUCCUGACCCUGAAAUCGAGAGUUGCCUGCUCUACGGACAGCCAGCCAGGUGCUGAGGAAGUCACUCUUAAAACACUAAGUCCCACCGGGAGGCCAGGCCUUGCACAGGGUUGCCCUUCAUAUCCAGGAUGCGCUGGAGCUGCUGGGCCUUCCACUCAUCCGUCAGGGUGAUGGGCUUCUUUGGGAACACUGCAGACAUGGUCAUGUGAUCAUUUC